GAUGACACAGAUGGUGUCUAGUAGAUCUAGUACUCAGUCCACUAGCACGUCUCAGACUGCCCCUGCUGCUUCUCUUGAGGAGGUCGAGGCGCUAAGAGCUGAAAUAAAUGCUCAGGUUGCUAAAGGGAACAACCUCGAGGCACGUAUGCUGGAGCAAGAUGGCACCAUUAAUGAUCUCAAGAGUAUGUUAACGGAGUUGAUGGAAAAUAUGAAGAAGGGUCAUAAUCCUUGAUACUUUUUAUGAAGUUUGAAUUUAUGUUGUGUUGAGUUUGGAUUUAUGUAGUAACUAUGGAGUUAGAAUUUAUGAUACUUGAUAUUUAGCUUAAUUUAGGUAUGUUGAAUUUGGAUGUUUAGCAAGUAUGUUUGACUUUGGAUGUUUAGUAAGUAUGUUUGAAUUUGGAUGUUAAGUA
rnacentral:lncRNA from 1 species